CAGGACCUGCAGAACCUCAGGAAUGACUGCUACAGGGAGAGACGUUAGGCUUCACAACCACUUAGCCUUAUCGAGCGUCUCGCUCCGACAAGCCUUUAGGCACAGCUUCCCACUCUCCUGGAACACAUCCACGGAGAAACUUCCUUUUGCUUUGCCAUGAGCCUGCGGGAAGGGCUAGCUUUCUCCCUUGAGGUGUGUUCUGGCAACCAGUGACAUUGAUCGUUUCAUGGAUGGACUUUUCCUUCUAGACCCAGCAGGAGCUUCUGCUGCUCCCAACAUGCACCUAAAUAAAUGACCAAAUAAAAUACUAUCUAACAUUUCGAA